GGUUCUGUGGCCCAAUGGAUAAGGCGCCGGUCUACGGUAUGGACCGAGACCACACACGUUCCGUCGAACGAAGCGUUCGAGUUGUUAACCGGAGAUUCCAGGUUCGAUCCCUGGCAGAAUCA
rnacentral:tRNA from 1 species